rnacentral:lncRNA from 1 species
GCGCGGGGCUGGGGGGCGCAGAGCUCCAUUGGGCUGGGAACCAGCGCGUCUCGUGCCCUUGGGGGACCUGCCUGCCCGAGCCGCCUGCUAAGCCUCCCGCUCCCCUCCACGCUGGAGCGCGCGGAGCCCGGUCUGCUCGGAACUCCACUCUGCGGGAGCGGAGGCCGGCGCCAGCCCGGGAAGCCGCGCAGGGGGCGGGAGGCCGAGCGCGAGGCCCUUGGCGCCGGGCCUCCGCGUCCAGGCCGGGCAGGUGAGCAGUCUCCGUGCCUCCCGGUUGGCGUUCCCCUCAACGCGUGCGGUCCCGCCGGGGCCCACUGUCUCUCCGUCCGUCUGUCUCUCAACUUUUCCCAUCCUUUAGCUUACGAUUCUUCAUCAACUCGUAAAAUGAGAUCGCCGCGGAGCUCGAGCCUAUUUGGCUUCUCCGGAGACUAGCAAGACCCUCUGAAAGACACCGCGUCCCCAGGGAUAAUCCCCCGUGUCCGGCAAAGCUGCCCCGCUCGAGCGCGAACCCUGGGACCCAGCGCGGGAGGCAGACCAGCAGCUGGCCGCUGGGCUGUGAACGCCAGGACCGAGCGGAAGCUUCCCGCCCGGCCGCGAUCGGUGCCGCGGCUCUCAGGGAAGUGGCUACGCGCGGCCCUCGGGAAAGCAGAUUAUCGGAGCCCUUUCAGAGAGCGCACAACAAAUGCGCCCGCCAUCGAAUGCAUCAUUUACCACCGCAGAUCCGAGCGCUGAUGGGCAGGCAGAUAGCCCUCUGCUGGGGGCACGCGGGCUCCCCGUGCCCGUACCACUCGCCUGCCUGCCGGGGCCACUGAGUGUGCGCCCCGGUGUGCCCGGCGUGUUUGGAUGGACACGUGGGUGUGCCAGUGCAUGGGCUAACGCCGAUGCAACUGUGCGGGUGUGUCAAACAAGUGUACCACAAAAAAGUGCAAGUGUGCGAGCCCAUCCAUGCACACGCAUGGCAGGCGUCUGUGCUGAGUGCCCGGAGGCGGCCGAUGAGGCGGUUGGAGGGUCCACACAGGAGGCGGUGCUGCACUAAGCUUGUGGGCAGGCAUGCGGCCCAGGGUGGCUGGACACGUGGUGGAGGAAUGGGAGUGCAAGCCCGCGUGUCCGAGUGCAGCAGAUGAGCAUCCUGCGAGUGCCUCACUGUGUCUGCCCUGGAGGUGGCUGUUUAGGGGAGCACGCCGGAGGCCACUAGGGUGGAUGUGCUGUGUGCAUGCAAGUGCCCACCCUACGCUGUGUUUCGGGGCACACAAGCUACCUGUGCCUACCGGGAUGAGCAUGCAAGUGUCACCGCUCCCGCCGGGCGUGCUUGGGGUGUGCUUGGGUCUGCGUGAGGCUGUGUGUGUCCUGCCGUAUCUCUGCCCAGGUGUGCCCUGGUGAGCUGAGAGAGGGGCACGGGGAAGGGCAGUCGUCGAGGCCUGUCCGUGUGCCAGCGUGGGUGGACUCCGGGCUGGGGAAGCGACAGGGAAUGGUGUGUGCGGGUGUGACAGACGCCAGAGCGGCGGGGUGGAACGUGCUGUGUCACGGGAGACUUUCUUGACCAAAACGGAAUGUGCGAGUGUGGAAGGAAGAGGGGCCGUCCGCGGAGUUUGGGGACACCCGGGCGUCCGAGCCCCAGAGCCUCUGCAGCUGGGACAAGGAAGCCCGAGCCCGCCGCCUGAGGUCCCCGCGCCGUUAGUGACACGCGCCGCCGACAAAGGCUGUAUUUUUCCAGGCUCGCGCCCCGCCCGCGCGCGCGCGAUGGUCCCCAUGGCGACGCAGAUAGCGCCGCAGCCAUUUUCCCUAUCUCCCCAGAGUCUAUAAUACGGCGGGAUUAGCUCAUCUCCAGGCAGGUCAAACCCAAAGUCACACAACCUGCGACGCGGGCCCCG